UGGGGAAUAUUGCACAAUGGGCGCAAGCCUGAUGCAGCCAUGCCGCGUGUAUGAAGAAGGCCUUCGGGUUGUAAAGUACUUUCAGCGGGGAGGAAGGGAGUAAAGUUAAUACCUUUGCUCAUUGACGUUACCCGCAGAAGAAGCACCGGCUAUCUCCGUGCCAGCAGCCGCGGUAAUACGGAGGGUGCAAGCGUUAAUCGGAAUUACUGGGCGUAAAGCGCACGCAGGCGGUUUGUUAAGUCAGAUGUGAAAUCCCCGGGCUCAACCUGGGAACUGCAUCUGAUACUGGCAAGCUUGAGUCUCGUAGAGGGGGGUAGAAUUCCAGGUGUAGCGGUGAAAUGCGUAGAGAUCUGGAGGAAUACCGGUGGCGAAGGCGGCCCCCUGGACGAAGACUGACGCUCAGGUGCGAAAGCGUGGGGAGCAAACA
rnacentral:rRNA from 1 species